rnacentral:rRNA from 1 species
UGUGGUUCAUGACUGGGGUGAAGUCGUAACAAGGUAGCGCUAGGGGAACCUGGCGCUGGAUCACCUCCUUAAACGAUGAU